ensembl:lncRNA
UCAGAAGGCAGCGCAGGUACUGAUUCAGGCUCUUGUCAUCUCCCGCCUGGACUACUGCAACUCCCUCCUGGCAGGUCUCCCUGCCACCGCCAUUUGACCUCUGCAGCUCAUUCAGAAUGCAGCAGCUCGACUGGUCUUCAACCUUCCGAAAUUCUCCCACACUACUCCACUCCUCCGCUCUCUUCACUGGCUACCGGUGGCCGCCCGCAUCCAGUUCAAAACAUUGGUGCUCACGUACCAUGCUGUGAAUGGAUCGGGUCCAGCUUACAUCCAGGACAUGGUCAAACCCUACAUCCCAACCCGCACUCUCCGCUCUGCAUCUGCAAAACUACUCGUCCCUCCCUCACUGAGAGCAAAACACUCGACUAGGUCUCAACUCUUCGCUGUCCUUGCGCCGAAAUGGUGGAACGAGCUCUCUGAAGACACCAGGACCGCAGAGAGCCUUCACAUCUUCCGCCGCAAGCUAAAGACACACCUCUUCAGACUCUACCUCGACUAAAGACUAACAAAUUGUAGCACUUAAAUUGUGUCGUGAUGCCUCAGAACGUUAUGAACCGUGACGGUGGACGAGGAGGAACUCGCCACAGCACCUGUAGAGCCUCCGGUCGGGGCCCGGGUCUGGUUCGUGGAGGCGCUGCUCUCAAUGGCGUGCUGGCCGCUCCUCCUCAGAGCACGGCUCGGUUCACCCAGGGGAACGGCGCCCAGCCACCGCGUGUGGUUGAGGGUGACGUUAACCAUUGGUACAAGAGCAAGAAGGCAGCGCCCCCGAGGACACUGAAGAAACGGGGAGGCCCCGCCUCCCCUGUCACUCAUGCCUCAGCGGCUGGCAGGGUCUGUAGUGCGGGCAGCCUCGCUGGUGUGUCGGGGAAGGGGGCCGCCAGUCUAGACGACGCCGCCGCCGCCUCGCCUGUUGACUGUCAACAAAUGGCGCCACGAGUCAUCCUGUCCAAGAACCAGAGAAGAAGAAACCGGAAAGCCUGUCCAGAGAACCAUACACUCUCAGGAAUACCACCCCCACCACCACCGGAGGAGGAGGAGGAGGACUGGGAAAAGGAGAGCCAAGAGGUCACGCUGAUUGACUGGGAAAAUAACUGUUUUGGCAUCAAUCCCUACGGUCCACAGGAUGUGAUCCAUUUUUCCUUGCGGUAUUCACCCUUCCAGCGAAGGCACGAAGUCGUCCCACUAUUGAUGGCUGGUUACAGCCCGGAGGUGCACCACCCGCAGCCCGUCCGUUGGAGGCACUACGGCACCCCCACCGAGCAAGGGCAGUUUGCAGACGCUGACCACUAGGCCAGGCGUGUGCGGCUGUGUGACCGGGUCGGUAGAAAAAGUUCUGGAGUUUUCUUAUUGGUUAGAAUCACUGCAACAGCUUCAGUCCAAUAAUAAUAAUAAUAAUUGCGUUCAGUUGUUUUAUUUAUUUUUUGUUUUAUAUCUAUAUUUUAUAUUUAGGUUAAAUGGUAAGCUAUUCAUUUUUUUAUCUUAAGGAAUGAUUUUAGAUGAUCUGCUAUACUUUGCUGUUGUACCGCAUACAUUUACGGUUCUUUCCAUGUCUUCAUAACUUUGGCUAGAAUUCCAGGAAACUGAAGGAAUACCCUUUUAUUGUCAUGUUUACCCUUUGUUUUAAAAUGCCUCUAGUAGGAACAAUGUUGUCAUAGUUCAUUAUCAAUGUUUGUUCAUCAGAUUUGUGAGUAGAUGAAGAAACGAUUUUGAUUUGGGGUCACCCAACUCGACCACGAAAUUUGGUUUGGAUGCUGUAUCAACAAGUUGUGAUCUGACCUUUCACAGUUGCAA